CCUUCGGGUUAGUGGCGGACGGGUGAGUAACGCGUGGGAAUCUGCCCUCAGGAGGGGGAUAACGGUUGGAAACGGCCGCUAAUACCCCAUAUGCCGAGAGGUGAAAUGAAUUUCGCCUGAGGAUGAGCCCGCGUCUGAUUAGCUAGUUGGUGAGGUAAGAGCUCACCAAGGCAUCGAUCAGUAGCUGGUCUGAGAGGAUGAUCAGCCACACUGGGACUGAGACACGGCCCAGACUCCUACGGGAGGCAGCAGUGGGGAAUUUUCCGCAAUGGGCGAAAGCCUGACGGAGCAACGCCGCGUGAGGGAUGAAGGCCUCUGGGCUGUAAACCUCUUUUAUCAAGGAAGAAGAUCUGACGGUAUCUGAGGAAUAAGCAUCGG
rnacentral:rRNA from 1 species